rnacentral:rRNA from 1 species
GACGAACCGUGCGAACGUUGUUCGGAAUCACUGGGCUUAAAGGGCGCGUAGGCGGCUUGCCAAGUCAGGGGUGAAAUCCCUGCAGCUUAACUGUAGAAGUGCCUCUGAUACUGGCGGUCUUGAGGGAAAUAGGGGUGUGCGGAACUUCCAGUGGAGCGGUGAAAUGCGUUGAUAUUGGAAGGAAGCGCCCGGAGGCGAAAGCGGCGCACUGGAUUUCUUCUGACGCUGAGGCGCGAAAGCUAGGGGGAGCAAACGGG